AACUGCUCUAAUGGUGCGUUGUGAAUCUCCUCUUUUAUUGCAGAAGAAUCCUCGGCUCCUAAAAACCUGUCAUCAGUUCGUCAGAGCGCACUCAGAGUGGGGAAAACGGCGGCGCAGGAUCCAGCUGGUGUCCAGAGACGACGCUCUGUCCCUGCCUCCGCCGCCGGAGCUCGGCUACAGCGUCACAGCCCAGGACCUGGACGAAGAGAAACGCUCUGCUCUCGACAAGAUCCACAAGCUCCUGGAGACGCCCGCUCCUGAGUCGACCUCCUCCAGCGGCGCCGUCAGCUCGUCUCCGGCCGCGCCCCUGAGCCUCGGACUGACCUUCACCACGGGGACAGUCGGCGUGAGCUCUUCGACUGUGACGCCCAGCUCUUCGGCCGGCGCUCCCAGCACCGCGGCCGGGACAGUAGAGGGCCUUCUGGGGCCUUGGUCGGAACGGGAGGCGGCGUUCAGGGCGGAGCUUCAGUGGCGCCGAGUGUCAGCGUCGCUCCUUCAGUUCAGCCUAACCUCCUCCUGGAGUCUCUGAAGAGGAAGAGUCUGUCUCUGGUCACCGCUGCAGGGACGGCCUCCUCGGCUCCGGUCCAGCCCGGUCUGUCCCUGCAGACGUCUGUCCCCCCAGCCUCUGCCUCUUCAGCGCCUCCUUCUACAGCCUCCUCCACGCAGCCUCCUGCUCUUGCCCCGGGCCUGUUCAGCCUCCCCACAGUUACCGCCCCUCCAGCGCCGCCCCCUCCAGCGCCGUCCCGCCCUCAGGCUUCAAACCCAUGUUCAACAUCCCCACCUCCUCCAGCGCCGCAGAACCCAAACCUCAGCAGAACUUUAAGCCCAUUUUGGUGCUGCUCCCGGCGCCUCCUCCACAUCUACCGCCUCCUCCGCCUCGUUGUUCGGCGCCUCGGCUUCGCUCUCCCCCCCAGCACGGUGCCCGCCCCCGUGUCUGGCGCCGCGC
rnacentral:lncRNA from 1 species